UACGAAGGGGGCUAGCGUUGUUCGGAUUUACUGGGCGUAAAGCGCACGUAGGCGGAUUGUUAAGUCAGGGGUGAAAUCCUGGAGCUCAACUCCAGAACUGCCUUUGAUACUGGCAAUCUUGAGUCCGGAAGAGGUGAGUGGAAUUCCCAGUGUAGAGGUGAAAUUCGUAGAUAUUGGGAAGAACACCGGUGGCGAAGGCGGCUCACUGGCUCGUAACUGACGCUCAUGCACGACAGCGUGGGGAUCAAACAGG
rnacentral:rRNA from 1 species